ACCCUGAUGCAGCGACGCAGCGUGCGGGAUGACGGCCUUCGGGUUGUAAACCGCUUUCAGCAGGGAAGAAGCGAAAGUGACGGUACCUGCAGAAGAAGUACCGGCUAACUACGUGCCAGCAGCCGCGGUAAUACGUAGGGUACGAGCGUUGUCCGGAAUUAUUGGGCGUAAAGAGCUCGUAGGUGGUUGGUCACGUCUGCUGUGGAAACGCAACGCUUAACGUUGCGCGUGCAGUGGGUACGGGCUGACUAGAGUGCAGUAGGGGAGUCUGGAAUUCCUGGUGUAGCGGUGAAAUGCGCAGAUAUCAGGAGGAACACCGGUGGCGAAGGCGGGACUCUGGGCUGUAACUGACACUGAGGAGCGAAAGCAUGGGGAGCGAACAGGAUUAGAUACCCUGGUAGUCCAUGCCGUAAACGUUGGGCACUAGGUGUGGGGGACAUUCCACGUUCUCCGCGCCGUAGCUAACGCAUUAAGUGCCCCGCCUGGGGAGUACGGUCGCAAGGCUAAAACUCAAAGGAAUUGACGGGGGCCCGCACAAGCGGCGGAGCAUGCGGAUUAAUUCGAUGCAACGCGAAGAACCUUACCAAGGCUUGACAUACACUGGACCGUUCUGGAAACAGUUCUUCUCUUUGGAGCUGGUGUACAGGUGGUGCAUGGUUGUCGUCAGCUCGUGUCGUGAGAUGUUGGGUUAAGUCCCGCAACGAGCGCAACCCUCGUUCUAUGUUGCCAGCACGUGAUGGUGGGAACUCAUAGGAGACUGCCGGGGUCAACUCGGAGGAAGGUGGGGAUGACGUCAAAUC
rnacentral:rRNA from 1 species